GCUGGACCGGCUCCUGAGCGAGCGGGUGCACAAGGAGAUGCGGCACCAGAGGCUCUACACACAGUACACCGUGAACCCGCUCCAACCCGCUUCAGUGAAGUAGCUGGAUCCACACUGGGGAAUAACCAAAAAGAACAUCUGCAAUGAUACAUAUUCUGUACCUGGCUGUGAUGCUAAAUUCAUGUUAUUCACCUGUAUCAUUUCUUUCCAGUUUACAUAGUCACCAGGAAGCUUCAGUCUUCCCCUGUUGGAAGAGGUCACUUAAGACUUUCGAGGGGCCAGAUUGCCAAAGCCCGGCCGGUCCAUUCCCACGAGGAAAGGUAGCUUUGUCUUGGACAAGAUACUGGGGGAGAGACACAAAAUAAAAGUUUAAUUUAAAACAACUGCCUACAAUAGAAAGCAAUUCAAACAUAAGGCAGACAAGACUCGUGCAAAUCUGAAUACAUUUGACUUCAAAGGAUAAUUAUUUCCCUCUGCACCUAACAGAAUGUCAUUUUCACCCAGGUCCUGCUUACCAUCGUCGAACAAAAUGUGCUGACAAAAUUUUUCAUGAUGACAGUGGAGAGAUAUUAGAGCACACUGCACAGGGAAGCUGAGCCCAUUCCUGGAAGUGUUCCAGGCCAGGCUGGAUGGGACUUGGAGCAUCCAAUCGGGGAUGAGAGUGGAAGGUGUCCCUGCCCACGGAAGACAGGGUGGCCUUUGAAGGUCCCCUUCAAACCAAAUCGCUCUGGGAUUCCCCUCCAAACCGUCGAAAACAGGCCGGUCGCUCUCACUUCCGGUGACCGAGUUUACCCGGAGAACGCCCCUCACUAAUUUGCGCGCUUUCGCCUCAAAAAUCUUCAUGUUAUUCCCCCCCCACACACCCCGGGAGAGACGGGAGACCACAAGUCCUGCCGUGCCGCCGGAGCCGGGCCUUAAGUUGAGCGGGCAGCGCUGCAGCAGCACAAGAGCCACUGCGCAUGCGUCGUUUCCUCUCCUGGCCCCCCCAAUGACCACAUGAUCGCGGGCCUCUUGCUGAUGAGUGCGCAUGCGCCCACCAUCUGAUCUGCUGGCUUUCCUCUUCCUGCGCACACCUCACCCACUUUUUCGGGCCCCCACGCAUUCUGAGGCCCUCCCUGACAUUUCGGGGCUCCCCCUCUACUUUUUCGGGUCCCUGGGGUUCCCUCACCCACGUUUUGGGGUCCCCUUCUCACAUUUUAGGAGUGACCCCCAAUUUACUGUUCGGAGGGCAGAGGGGGGUGUAUAUGGGGUGCUCAAGGUUUUUUUUUCCUUUUAUUUCACUUUUCAUUUUAUUUCCUUUUUAGUUUUCUUGCUUUUAAUUUUUUAAAUUUUCUUUUUUAUUUUAUAUUUCCUUCUUUAUUUCGUUUAUUUUUUAUUCUCUUUAUUUUUCAUUUUCUUUUCUUUCUCGUUUGGUUUUAAUUUUUUUAUUUCUUAUUCUUCUAGAGAGGAAGAACACUGCAGCUCCUCUGGGCCAAAGAAAGGCUCCCCUGCUCUUCCCUUAAACACAACGCCUGCAAUGAGUGCCCUGGAAGCCCGCUCUGCUCAUGCCAGGCACUGGGGCUCACCCAGAGGGGCUUUGCCAGCAUUAAACGGAAAUUAAAACUCCAGGCAUACGCACUUAUGGCAGGACUGCCGGGAUGCUCCUGGCCAAGGCAAUCAGUCUGUGGAAGUCAGACCGGUGACCACCCAGGGGGAUUUCCAGGGGCACACUUCCAGGUUUUAUUCUCCAGAAACUCCAGUUCUUUCUGGCACCGCUUGCUUCAGUCUUCCCCUGUUGGAAGAGGUCACUUAGUCUUUCGAGGGGCCAGAUUGCCAAAGCCCGGCCAGUCCAUUCCCUUCACACCUCCACACGCCCAUGCGCUCCGGGGCCGAGGGGCAGCGGCCUGCCCUGCACAGGCCCCAGGGCUGGCCUUCAGGCCAGCUCACCUGAUGUAUUGAACUUCCUCAGGGAUCGUUUCCGCCUGCAUCUGAAAUACAAUUAUUACAAAAGUCACCGAAAUGUUCCAGGAAAACUGAACAGCUCUGUGACUAUCUGAGUGACUAUCUGAGGCUCCUUUACCUUAACCUCUUAUUGGAUGGACCUUCGUCACAUUCAGCAGACAGGCAAAGGGUUGUGUAUCGCCUAGGAAAAAAAAAAAAAGCAGUUACGACAUAUAUGCAUAGACAACAUCCUAAAACUGACACCAAAUUCAGUCCGAGAGUAAAAUUCUCACCUCGCUCGUCUCCGCUCCUGUGUCGCUAGCCCUCGAGACACUGCUCUGCAAACCCACGGCAUCCUCUUGGGGCCGCACCUGCCACAACCCCAACACAGCAGUGCACAGGCCCACGCUCCCCGCCGAGGGUCCCUCCGCCGCCCCGAAGAAGGGAUGUUGUAAAAAGAGCAUGCAGAGCUGGUCCAGGGAGCCUCGGUUGAUGGCCCCGUACUCUGCUUUUAACAACAAAAUGCCACAGACAAGUUUCCCAACACGGUGAAAGCAAGAGACUAUGAGAAUAGUUUUAUUAUUAAACACUUAUUAUCACCCAAAACAAGGCACGCAUGAAGGGGCAGCUCUGUAUUUCCUUAAACAAAGCAGCACGUUGCCAGGUUCAUUGUUUUCAUAGAACUUGGAGUAAGAAAGCUAGUCAAGAGCAACAGGCGUUACACCUUAGCUUCAAUACAAAAGCAAUUCAGGAUCACUCUUCUAUUCACCAGAACACCCCCAUGCAUACACCUCACUUGGAAUAUUCUACUGUAGUACAGGUUGAAUACCAAGACUAAACCCUGUGACAGUACCAAAUUAGGUGUAUUCAUUUACUAGGCAUCGUGUGGUUAAACUGAGGGACUCUAUGGCAAAAUCAAAUGCCACGACAGUGCAUGUUGUUCAGAGACUCAUCAGCGGUAUUGGACAAACAUGAUCCUACACCAGUUUUCUGCACAGCUUCAGCCUAUCUUAACAGCUGCUGCCAUCUUUGGGGCGUUUUGGUUUUUAAUUACAGAUUUUAAUGGCACAAAACCAAUCUUCUGUUUUUACAUUUGAAAGCUUAAAAAAAAAUGCCUCUAAUUUUGAAGGGAACUAAGUUGUAUUAGUAUCUUACAUUUCUCCUCUCCAAGAAAAGUCUCCAGAGUAUGCGUCUAAAAAUCUGCAGAAAAAGCCUAGGCACUAUAUGGUUCAAGGAAACCAGGGGUUUCCUCCCCAAUAUAAUGCAAGCCAAUCAUUUUGAUUCUCUGCAAAAUGCUCUCUUACCAGUAAUGAUCACUUUAAUCAGCCAAGCCUAAAAAGUUCUAGUCCCAAAAGCACGAACCCGUGAAGGUAAUUUCUACAUUAUUUGGCAGAAUUGAAAAAAAAAAAUCAGACCACAAUCACAUAUUAAUGACUACAUUUACAACUGGUCUGCAAUAUAAAUUGAACAUACUCUGUGACUACCAAAAUGUCAAACGAAGGUCACCUUCAGCAGCAAUUUUAAAGACAUUCAGAUUUCGUAUUUUUUAAUACCUCUAGCAUCUAAGAAAAA